GACAAUUGAAUGGCCGCGGUAACACUGACCGUGAUAAUGUAGCGUAAUCACUAGCCAAUUAAUUGUUGGCCAGUAUGAAUGGCGCCACGAAGGCCCCACUGUCUUAAGGAAAUUCCCAGUGAAAUUGAAUUCGUAGUGAAGAUGCUACGUCCAAUUUGUUAGACGAAAAGACCCCGUUGAGCUUUACUGGGGCACUUACACGGCCCUGGCCUUCAAGCCUAAGUGUGAUAGGCCAAGGUUUAUCGCACCUAGGAGUUGGCCGAAUUUAAAUGGGUGGCUUAGACUAUGUGGCAGCCCCCCGUCGGGGCAGAUGAAACUCCACUCCCCCAUGUCAAAGGGGCUAACCCUCUCCUCUUGGGAGGGGAGACAAUGUAAGUAGGACAGUUUGGUUGGGGCGACCGCCUUUUAAAUAGUAACGAAAGUGCGCUUAAGUGUGUAAUUAAUGACUGAAGCCUGACUGCGAGGGGGACACCCCGAGCAGACACCCCCAAGCCCGCCCGGGAGGGCGGCGAUGGGGUGGGCCAUAGUGACCCGUU
rnacentral:rRNA from 1 species